rnacentral:rRNA from 1 species
GAUGAACGCUGGCGGCGUGCCUAAUACAUGCAAGUCGAGCGAACAGACGAGGAGCUUGCUCCUCUGACGUUAGCGGCGGACGGGUGAGUAACACGUGGAUAACCUACCUAUAAGACUGGGAUAACUUCGGGAAACCGGAGCUAAUACCGGAUAAUAUAUUGAACCGCAUGGUUCAAUAGUGAAAGACGGUUUUGCUGUCACUUAUAGAUGGAUCCGCGCCGCAUUAGCUAGUUGGUAAGGUAACGGCUUACCAAGGCAACGAUGCGUAGCCGACCUGAGAGGGUGAUCGGCCACACUGGAACUGAGACACGGUCCAGACUCCUACGGGAGGCAGCAGUAGGGAAUCUUCCGCAAUGGGCGAAAGCCUGACGGAGCAACGCCGCGUGAGUGAUGAAGGACUUCGGAUCGUAAAACUCUGUUAUUAGGGAAGAACAAAUGUGUAAGUAACUAUGCACGUCUUGACGGUACCUAAUCAGAAAGCCACGGCUAACUACGUG